rnacentral:rRNA from 1 species
GAUGAACGCUGGCGGCGCGCCUAACACAUGCAAGUCGAACGAUUAAAGCACCUUCGGGUGUGUAUAAAGUGGCGAACGGCUGAGUAACACGUGGGCAACCUGCCCCUUUCAUUGGGAUAGCCACGGGAAACCGUGGAUAAUACCGAAUACUUCGAGACUUCCGCAUGGAAGACUCGAGAAAGCUCCGGCGGAGAGGGAUGGGCCCGCGGCCUGUUAGCUUGUUGGUGGGGUAACGGCCUAUCAAGGCAAUGAUGGGUAGCUGGGUUGAGAGACCGACCAGCCAGAUUGGGACUGAGACACGGCCCAGACUCCUACGGGAGGCAGCAGUGGGGAAUCUUGCACAAUGGGCGAAAGCCUGAUGCAGCGACGCCGCGUGCGGGAUGAAGGCCUUCGGGUUGUAAACCGCUUUCAGCAGGGACGAGGCGAAAGUGACGGUACCUGCAGAAGAAGCCCCGGCUAACUACGUG